rnacentral:rRNA from 1 species
UUGAACGCUGGCGGCAGGCCUAACACAUGCAAGUCGAGCGGAUGAAGGGAGCUUGCUCCUGGAUUCAGCGGCGGACGGGUGAGUAAUGCCUAGGAAUCUGCCUGGUAGUGGGGGAUAACGUCCGGAAACGGGCGCUAAUACCGCAUACGUCCUGAGGGAGAAAGUGGGGGAUCUUCGGACCUCACGCUAUCAGAUGAGCCUAGGUCGGAUUAGCUAGUUGGUGGGGUAAAGGCCUACCAAGGCGACGAUCCGUAACUGGUCUGAGAGGAUGAUCAGUCACACUGGAACUGGGACAGGGUCCAGACUCCUACGGUAGGCCGCAGUGGGGAAUAUUGGACAAUGGGCGAAAGCCUGACCCAGCCAUGCCGCGUGUGUGAAGACGGUCUUCGGAUUGUAAAGCACUUUAAGUUGGGAGGAAGGGCAGUAAGUUAAUACCUUGCUGUUUUGACGGUACCAAGAGAAUAAGCACCGGCUAACUUCGUG